rnacentral:lncRNA from 1 species
GGAGAUAUAGUAGCAGCUUAUGAGAAACUUUGUUUUGUGCCUCAUACAACUGAGGCUAGUUGAGUAAGCCUGCUUCUUGUUUCACAAAUUAGUUGACCCAUAUCUUACAUCUUUGGGUCCACCAAUUUGUGAAACAGAAAGAAGAUCACACAACUGUAAUAUCAGAUAAAUAUGGGGAAAAAAAAACUUCAGUUUCCAGGCCCAGAUAACAUUUCCCUGGACUAGGUUUAAGGAAGCAUAUCUGCAUCUUAUGGUCUACUUUUGCCAUCAACUCGAAGAUCAAGUUUGGAAUGAAAGACAGUUUUGACAAGAUGCUUGGUUAGGUAAUAUUUUUUUUUUUUUUUUGAAUUAUUCAAUGGCAGGACCUUCAUAUUUCUAAUCUCAUGCUGAAAUCUGGUAUCAGAUACUGGAAUAGCAACAACUGGUGUUUAUAUUUAGAUUAUAUAUAGUAUAAGAAUAGGAAUUCUUUUGAUUAUGAAGUUUCUGCAAUGGUUCAACAAAUGAGUGAUUUGAAGGAGGAAGUGCCUAACAAUAUAGUAGGGAUUAAGCAGAAAAAGGGCUCUUCUCUGUUAAUCUUGCUACAGGACUCUCAGCAGUGGAAGAGACAACCGUACUUGCUGGCCCUGGAAGAUGCUGUGGAAGUCAAAGCACCCUACAAAAUCAGUUCCUUUUUGUGGCUAGUGGCACUAGAUGCAUGACUGACUCAAGAUGAUCUUCAGAGAUAGGUAUGACAAUUUGCAGCAGGCGUUUUAUGUGUAACAGGGAAGAGAAGAAUAGCAGCCAAGUGCCAGCUCGUCUGUGCGGGGUAUUAUGGAAAGAAAGGAAUGUUUGAUGUUAUGAAUAAAAAACAGAAUCGGUACAGAAGAUAAAGUUAAAAGUUUAUGCCUUUUAGGCUUUUGGUGUAAUCUUCAGGAUGUUUAGAGACGAAAAUAGCAUGCUCAAUCUCUUCAGGAAUAGGUUGUUCGUUCAUAUAGAAAUCUUUCUUUUUUGUUUUUGUACAGAAAGGUUCAGAGCUGUGUAAAAUCCCUGGCACCAUUUUAUUGCCAGGCUACUUUUUUUAAUAAUUAAUACAUUAAUUACCAUACCUAUUCAAACAAAGAGUUAGAAGGAAGAAAAAGAAAGAAAUUUUUCUUGAAUGUUAAGUCUGAGUUGAGGGUUUUCACAUGCAUGAGCAGGUACGGAGAUAAUUAGGGGUAGUUUGAUGUGAGGAUUCGGGAUAAAUAAUCCCGGGAUAAAAUGAAGGACUAUUUUAUCCCAUGUUUGGUGUGAGGUAUUAGUUAAUCCUGGGAUUAUUUAUCCCACCAUUUACAUCAUAGUGAUGGGAUAAGUUAUCCCAUAUACAUGGUGGGAUAACUAAUCCUGGGAUUAAUUAUCCCGAGAUAGCUCUUUCCCAACCAAAAGACCCCUUAGUGAUAAAGACUGACUUGAAGUUUCUUCGACAUAAUCAUUUGACAGAAUUUAAGACAUACCUUCCUGGAAGUGGCUGAGGACUGUUAACUUGACCCUUAGAAUUUGCAAAUCUUUUUGCUCUAUUUUCCUGUUCCUUCUGAACACGCAUGGCAGAAACCUCCUUCUCCAUUGCAGCGACUUCCCUUCUCAUCUUUUUGGCCUCAACUUCCAUGGCUUUUGUUAAAGUAUCCACUUUCUUUGCUAACAUCUGAACCACAAGAAUACUAUCAAGCUUAGUAGAAAAUCAGAGUGAGUUGAGGUAGUCAUGAUACCAAUCAGCAAUCAAACUAACCUCAAUAGCAUCGUCCUUGUCGUUAAGACUUUGAUCCUUCUCAUGACCAGCUUUCCUUAAAGCAAUUACUUCUUUUUGCAGCAAAUCAUAUAAUACUCCAGGCACAGUAUCUUCGGUUCUUGUCAUUUGUGAGUCAUCAUGUUUUUCAUCUAGAUUCUCUUUCCAUGAAUUGUUCUCAGUCUCAUUAUCUUUAGUCCCAUCACAGGACUUGCUGCUGUUGAAAUUUGGACCUGUUCCAUUCAGAAGCUUUUUGCUCCUGUCCACUGAUCUUGAACCACCGUCAAAAGACUUGGAUGUCCCUUUUGCAUGCUUCAACACUGUACUGGCCCCAGAAGAUCUCAGCUGAAAUGAUGG